UACGAACCGUACAAACGUUAUUCGGAAUCACUGGGCUUAAAGGGCGCGUAGGCGGCCUGCUAAGUCGAACGUGAAAUCCCCGGGCUCAACCCGGGAACUGCGUCCGAUACUGGUGGGCUUGAAUCCGGGAGAGGGAUGUGGAAUUCCAGGUGUAGCGGUGAAAUGCGUAGAUAUCUGGAGGAACACCGGUGGCGAAGGCGACAUCCUGGACCGGUAUUGACGCUGAGGCGCGAAAGCUAGGGGAGCAAACGGG
rnacentral:rRNA from 1 species